rnacentral:lncRNA from 1 species
GCUAUAAAUAUCUUGAAAUUUCUAGCACCUUCUUGAAUUUCCAGCAGCUGGUCUUCUUCUUCCCUUCUCCUCUCUCACGUUUCUUCAAUUUCUCCAUGGGAGUUUUCUUCAAGCUUCCAUAACUUUCUCUCUCUAGCUCCAAUUUUCAUGUUUUUGGUGUACUCUUCGAUAAACCCUUAUGCUCUUUCAUCCUCUCACUUUAAAACCCUUCAAAAAUCUGGUUUUCAUACUUUCUCUUACUAGUUGGACGUUUUAGAGAGAGAAAGAGAGAAUUACACCAUUUAUUUGGAAGCUAUUGGGAGAGAAUUUGACUAUAAAGGAGCCUUAGGGUAAGUGAUGAAUUAAGCUUGGUUUUUAGCUGUAGAAAAUGGCUAGUAAUUGGGAUUUAUGAGCUGUUUAUUGUUGAGUAUGUUCAUUACUUUUAGUGAUUAAGAUAGUGAACAUAGAUGGCCAUUUAAUGUGGCAAUUGAAAACUAGCUAAGAGAUAGCUUUUAGGGUUCAUAGUGUGUAAAAUUGACCUAUUGCUUAUGCUAAUGUGAUCCUAGGUUCUAAGGAAGCCCCAUCAUCUCAUUUGGACAAUUAGAGGAAUUGGAGUCAUCUAAAGGCUCUACAAUCAAUUGGUGAGUGGACUGUUUAUCAAAAUUGUUUUGGGAACAUGACGGUUUUGAACAAAGUGUUUGAAUGAUUUUAUACAACUUUUCUCAAAAAUGAAUGCCUUGGGAACAGGCUCUUGUGAAAUGGUUUAUGUUAUGAUAUGUGGUUAUUAUGGAUUUCUAUGCAGCUGCAUUAUGUUGAUAUACAUAUAUGCUUGAAUAUAAUGUUGUGUAAUUAUAUUAACUCGGCUAUGUGCAAGUAGGGAGUGCGCAUAAGCCGAGGAUGACCUGGUUAUGUGCGAGUAGGGAGUACCCAUAACCCAGUGAUGACCCAGCCAUGUGCGAGUAGGGAGUGCCAUGAGCUGGUGAUGAUGAUGAUGGGAUGGUGUGCAUGAUGAUGAUGGGAUUGUGUGCAUAAUGGUGAUGGGUAUAUGUAUAUGUAUACAUACGUAAACAUGUGUGUUAUAAGAAAUUUAUGAGUUAUGUAUAUGGAUGUAAUGUAUGUGAAAUUUAGUAUGUUACACCUUGGGAAGUUGUUAUGUAUUUCUUAUUAGUUUUGAACAUUUCAAGCAGGGUGGUUUUCUUUGGAAGAAAGGGAAAUUUUCGUUUGGUGCCCUGUAUUUCGUUGCAGCGAGAAUGUCUCGGGUUUGAGAACCUUCACCAGAACUGGUUCUCGCUGCAGCGAGAAUGUAUUUCGCUACAGCGAGAUAGUCAUUGUAGCUUCUUGUUGUAGCAAAAAGGAAUCUCGCUCUAGCGAAAAACUCUCUGUUUCACCAGCUGAAUUUCGUUGCAGCAAGAAACCUUCUGUUUUUGGGUUACAAUUUCUCUGCAGCGAGAUUGAAUCUCGCUGCAGCGAAAAACCUUUUGUUUUGGUCUCCUAUCUUGUCCAAUUGCUGCCCUAUCUUUCACUACUUUGCUACCAUAUCGGAGCAUGGACUUCCAACAUUAAGGAUUAGAUGAGUUAAGUUUAAAAUGGGGAGGUUUAGUGAAAAACCUUCGGCCAAUUGAGAAACCCUCGUUCGGCUAAUAACUAAAUCCCAACGUCCCUACAACGAAAAUUCAUUCUCGCUGCAACUACUCUGCAGCGAGAAUGCCUUUUCGCUGCAGCAAAGAUUCGUUGUCGUAUUUGACUUACUUGUGUAAUAUUGAAGCUUUCAUUCUUCAAAUGGUUCGUUAUGUAUGGGUUCAUGAUUUUCAAAGGAUUAAUCAUUUAAGGGCUUGAUAAGGGGUUUUUAAUAAGAAUAGAAACAGAUUGCAUUGUUUUGAAAAAGAAUGCAUCAUGAUUUCAUUAAAGAUUCCUUAUGGUAUGCUUGUUCCCUUUCUUGUUCACUCACUGGGUUUAUAUUCACCAUUUUCAACUUCAUGUUUUCAAAUCAUGAGGCAGCAGGUAACUAGGAUGAGGUGUCCUUGUAAACUUAUAUCCAUCUUUUGGUAGGUGUCUCGGCAUUUAGUAGCUGUACAUUCGUCUGAGUCCCUCCGCUGGAAGUCAAGUCUUCUUUUUUUUGAGAUGUAUAGACAAACUUGAUGUAAAUUAUUAAGAUACAUGUUGUGGGCAAAUGUACACUUAAUUGAUAUGCCAGUAUGAGUUGGCGAAUGUUUAAUUUUAUUAUGAUUCUAAGUUAUGAAAUAGGACUUAGUAGUUAUGAUGGAAUAAUAAAUAUGUUAGAUUAAUAGGCUUGCUUGGGCUUAAUGGACUAUGUCUAUUGGGCCCUUACGUCAGUCAUGGUCUGGAAUUUGGGUCGUGACAACACAGUACAAAUAAUUCUAACACCAAAAAUCAGUUUAGCCAUUCAUGCUCAUAUAUUGUCAUAAGCCAUUCAAUUUAAAGCCAUAAAUUUACAACACAAGCAGGCAGUCUCCAAUUACUCUAUUUUCAAAACCAAUAUUCAAUUUUUCAGAAAAUUUAUAAAAUCAUUUUAUAAAAUCACAAUUUCUCCUAAAACAUAGCAAUUUACCAUUUAAACCCAUUUUCCAUAAAAUCACACAAUUGUAUAAAACUACUCUAAAUAAUUAAAACGAUAAUAAGUUUACUCACAGUUCUAGGAGUCGAUGUACUCUUAAUCCUAGUCUUCAAGCACAAUCUCUAUACUUUUACCAGUGUAAUUUACUCACCACCUAUCCACAAUGUCCAAUUCAUAAUUCACCACAUUAAUGCUUGACCAUUAUAAAAUCAAUUCAGGCUCGGUGUAUAUGCAUGAUAUGAUAUUCAACUUAUCCGACUACCGGCUUAAAUGCGUUGUUGACCUAAUUCGGCCUAUUACCCGAUUAAAUGACAAUUGUGUCCGAUUUGGCUCUAAAUUGCUCCAUUUCAUUUCUAAUACCUCAAUUCACCAAACAUUAUUCAAAUAACACCAAUUUCAGAAUCAAAACCUUCCCAUUUCUUCAUGGAAAAAUUCGGCCAUUAUAGUGCACUAACACUGUGAUUUUUCCUACUUUAUUUUCUCACCAUUAUUCAUCAUUUUCUAAGCCAUUUCUCUUGAAAUAAUAACAAUCCAUCACCCACACACAUCAAGGAAGAUUCGGCCAAUGAAAAUUCAUGGGGAAAUGGAUUAUUUUCUUGUUUGUUUUGCUUCUAAAUAUGCUAAACUAACUAAAAACACUAACAUAUCUUAAAAUCAAUUCAAUCCAACAUCUUUCUCUCUCCUUACCCAUUUUGACUAGUCAUGAAUUCAUCAUGAAAACAUGUAAUUUAACCAUGGAAAUUAAGGGAAAAUGCAUGGGUAAGGUAAAUCACUAGCAAAAUCAAAGAAAUUUUACCUUGAUCAAAUCCUUGAAUUCCAACACUUUCUCUUUGAUUUUUCCCACCUAGGGUUUCUUCUUCCUUGGUUUCUCUUCUCUUCUGAUUUGGCUGAUCACUAUGGGAGAAAUGGGCUGAUUUUUUACCUUUUUAUAAAGAAACAAUAAAAUAAUAAAAGCAUGACACAUGGUAUUUCUUUAUUGGUUCAAAUUUUAAAUAUUUGACUUUUAAUUCUUUAAUUCUCCACCACACAUUUCUCAUGUUUAUCCAUUUCCAUGAUGAAUAAAAUCCCUUGGUCUUGACAAGUGUCAAGGGUGAAAAUUUACCGAUUUGCCCCUGAAGUGGCAAAUUUACCAUUUUGCCCUUAUACUCCAAAUUAUAUCGAAAUUUAAAAAUUUUCACUUCUAAACCUCAAAUCAUAUUCAAAUAAGUCAAAUGGGGCCAAAAAAUUUUUUUCUAAAAUUUUCAUUUUGUACCCAAGUGGCAAAUACCAUUUUACCCAUAGAUAGUGAAAAUUUCGGUUUGACUCCAAAUUGAUCCUCGAACUUCGGAUUACCAUUUUGAGUCAUCCCUAGAUCAUGAAACUCUUAAUUUCACCUUAAAAUUCCUAUUUGAACUAGUUCGAGGCUUAAUCGACUUAAUGGUACCAUUAGGGGCAAUAUCAUCUUUUAACGAUUUCUUGAACUUUCUAAAUAUGCAAACAUUCUAUUGAGCAUGUAAAUGACGUCAUAAUUAUUUUAUAGAACAGGGUUUGACACUAUGAUAAUGUGCAAACAAAGUAAAGCUAUGGCUAGAGGGCUUGAUGUCACGACCCAAACCUGAGAGUCCAUGAUUGACACACGAGCCUGGCAAGCGAAACCCAUGAGACCUAAGCAAGCCUCAAAGUCUCUCCAAAUCAUACACAUAUAGUAAAAGGUUUCUUAACACAAAUAUUCAUUUAAUAUUCAAAUUCAAAUACAUAAGUGUUACCCUUGACACAUAGUUUGUAUACAAUAUUUAAUACAUUUCUCACAAGGCCAUACAUUGACUGUCAUAGUGGGUUCAUAUCAUACACCCUUAUACAAUAAUAAAUGGCCCCUCAUUCCUGACAUACUUUACAAGCUAAACCCAAAUCCAAAGGUGGAAGGCCCCCAUAAACUCAGCGAAGUGACACAUCGGAAAGGAGACCUAUCAGAUGCCAAAUAUCGGUCCAUCCAAGCAAUGACACUAGCCAUGCAAUCCCAUAGCUUCAUUUAUCUGUGCAUGGUACAACAAAGAGGUGAGUCAUCUAAUACUCAGUAAGGGGGAAGCUAACAUAGCAUAAUAAUUCACGUAUGUAUGUAUGUGUGUGUGUGUGUAUGUCUAUAUAUAUAUAUAUAUAGUUAGGCUUAUCUAGCCAUCAAUCAAGCAUAAUCAAAUAUCUCUAAAGAUGAAAGUGUGAGAAUCAUCUUAACAUCCCAUGUGCACAUAUAACAUCCUUGAUUUUUUUGACAUAGCCUAUAUGUGAUAGGGGCCAAGGGCUAAGUUAUUAAAGAGUAAAAUUUAGACCCUGAUGUGUAUGCUUGUGGAGCAUGUGUAUGAACUAUAUUGUAGAGAAAAUGAUCUUGAAAUUGUUGUAUAUUUGGAGACUUCUUUAAUGAUAUGUGGAUGUGUUAAGUAUAGGAAGCAUGCCUUAUGAUACUUAAGCAACAAUUUUACGAACAUAUUUGAGGAAUCCAAAGGAGUGGUGCUUAGAUUGAAGCCUUGAUCUUAUGUUUGAGUAUUUAACUAAGGCUUUGAGUCAUAUAUGAAUUGUUUUAGGUUGUGGAGGAGAUUUAGAAUGGGUUUAGGCUUUAAAAGAAAUAAUUUUUAUGAAUUUGGACCAAAGAAGUCGAUUCUAGUGCAUAGAGGGUUAAUCUUAGUGCAUAGAGGGUCAAUCCUAUGAAGUAAAAAGUAAGGAAAACCAAGCAUUCUGGUCUAGAAUCAACUAUAGUCUUUUAUAGUCUAUCCUAGGAAGGAAAAAUGGAAGAAAUACGAACAUUCUGAUCCAAGAUCGACUAUAGACCCUUCAUAGUCGAUCUUGUGAAGCAAAAUCAACUAAAAAUAGACAUUAUGGUCCAAGAUCGACUAUAGACUCUCUAUAGUCAAUCUAAUGAAAAGGAGAAAAGGUGAACACAAACUUUCUGAUCCAAGAUCGACUACAGACCCUCUAUAGUCAAUCCUAGGAUGCCCAAUCAGCUUAAAACAAGCUUAAAAGCCUUAAAACCAAAAAUUUCUUCAUUUUCUCUUAACUCCAUAUUUCUCCACCCAUUUUCUCUCAACUCUCACACCUUCAAACCCAUUAAACUCCAACCAUAAAUCAAGGAUUUUGAGUGUUGACAGUAGGAGUUUUACUCCCGAAAAGCUUAGUUUGAUUUUUAUUUUCUCUCUCCACCCAUUUGAAACCAUAAGCCACAAAUGCAUUCUUAGAGUUAUUUGAAGUGAUUUGGAGCUAACCCGAGCUUAGGGAAACGUUAUUGAGGUAAGAUUAAACGUUUUUACCGAUUAUUUUCAACUUAAUAAGUUAAUAACUUAUAUUUGAUUUGGUUUAGCUUUGAAGAAAUUGGCCCUCUUGACUUGAUUGGGGAUUUUGGGUAAACAAUUGUAAAAUCCAACUUCUAAGGUAUGGGUUUAGCUCAUUAUUGAAGGAUUUGAGCUUAUACGUUGGAUUGCUAAAGAUUUGAUUAUUUUUAGAAAAGCUGGCUGUCAAGCCCAGCCCUAAAUUAUCUACCAUGUUACACAUGAGACUGAUAAAGUGAUUGUAUAUUUGAACAGCCCCAGAAGAAUAUUUAAAAGUCGGUAUUGUGCUUAGAAGUACAAGUAAGUCAAUUUAUACCUCGAACUAAUUAAAAUAGGGAUUUUAAGGUGAAAUUAAGAGUUUCAUAGUCCAGGGAUGACUCAAAAUGGUAAUUCGAAGUUCGAGGAUCAAUUUGGAGUCAAACCUGAAUUUUCACUAUCUAGGGGCAAAAUGGUCAUUUGCCACUUGAGGACAAAAUGAAAAUGUUAGAAAUGAUUUUUGGCCCCAUUUGACUUAUUGGAGUAUGAUUUGAGUAUUGGAGUAUGAUUUGAGGUUUAGAAGUGAAAAAUUUUAAUUUUUGGUAUAAUUUGGAGUAUAGGGGUGAAAUGGUAAUUUUGCCACCUCAGGGGCAAAUCGGUAAAUUUUCACCCCUGACACUUGUCAAGACCAAGGGAUUUUAUUCAUCAUGGAAAUGGAUAAACAUGAGAAAUGUGUGAUGGAGAAUUAAAGAAUUAAAAGUCAAAUAUUUAAAUUUGAACCAAUAAGGAAAUGCCAUGUGUCAUGUUUUUAUUAUUUUAUUCGUUCUUUAUAAAAAGGCAUAAAAAUCAGCCCAUUUCUCCCAUAGUGGUCAGCCAAACCAGAAGAGAAGAGAAACCAAGGAAGAACAAACCCUAGGUGGAGAAAUUCAAGGAAAAAUUGGUGAAAAUUCAAGGAAACAAGUGACAAAAGGUAAAUUUUCUUGAUUUUGACUUGUGAUCUACCUUUCCCAUGCAUUUCUCCUCAUUUUUCAUGGUUAAAUUACAUGUUUUCAUGAUGAAUUUAUGGCUGGUUGGAAUGGGUAUGGAGAGAGAAUGAUGUUAGAUUGAUUUGAUUCUAAGUUAUGUUAGUGUUUUUAGUUAGUUAAGCAUGUUUAGAAACAAAACAACAAGAAAAGAAUCCAUUUUCCCCAUGAAUCUUCAAUGGCCAAACCCUAUGUGAAGUGUAGAAGUAAUGAAUUGAUUUUGUGAUCAAGUGAAUUGGUUGAAAAAUUGAUGAAAUGAUGAUUUAUGGUGAGAAAAUGGAAUGGGAAAAUUUUUAGUGAUAGUGCACCACAAUGACCGAAAUUUUCAAGAAGAAUUGUGAGGGUUGUUAGGCUGAAUUUUAGAUUAUUGGAAUUGUAUUUAGUGAAUUGAAAUAUUAGAAAUGAAAUGGAGCAAUUUGGAGCCAAAUCGGACACAAUUGUCAUUUAAUCGGGUAAUAGGUCGAAUCAGGUCAGCAUCGCAUUUAAGCGGUAGUCGGAUAAGUUACAUAUCAUAUCAUGCAUAUACACUGAGCCUGAAUUGAUUUUAUAAUAGUCAAGCAUUAAUGUGGUGAAUUAUGUAUUGUACAUUAUGGAUAGGUGGUGAGUAAAUUACACAAGUAAAAGUACAGAGAUUGUGCUUGGAGACUGGGAUUGGGAGUACAUCGACUCCUAGAAUUGUGAGUGAACUUAUUAUCGUCUUAAUUAUCUAGAGCAGUUUUAUACAAUUGUGUGAUUUUAUAGAAAAUGGGUUUAAAUGGUAAAUUGCUAUAUUUUAGGAGAAAUUGUGAUUUUAUAAAAUGAUUUUAUAAAUUUUUUGGAAAAUUGAAUACUGGUUUUGAAAAUAGAGUAAUUGGAGACUGCCUGCUUAUGUUGUAAAUUUAUGGUUUUAAAUUGAAUGGCUUAUGACAAUAAAUGAGCAUGAAUGGCUAAACUAAUUUUGGUAUUAGAAUUAUUUGUACUGUGAAUUCAGCCUUGAGAGGCUAGGUUGUGAUAAAUUGCCAUGUCAUGUAGAAAAAGAUUUUAUAAAUCAGGUGGUAGAUAAAAUAAUCCAUAGUCACUGCAGUGGUGGGGGUUUCCGUGGACUGCCUAUGAGAGGGGCACGGUAAUCCAAUUAUAUAUUUACCUCCGGGGGGAGGUGUUAGAUGAAGUAUCUCCUGAGGUAAAGAUUUGAGCGCACUUCACAUGGACCACCGUGUGAGAGUGAGACUCAACCAACGCCAAGGUAUGGCUAAAAUUUCGGAUGUAAAGACAUUUAAUAGCCUUGGCGGACUCGGUUGGGAUAACCCUCAAUCAAGGUAUCCUUGAUAACUGAGUAUGAGAAUGAUUUUUGGCACGAGCCAAGCUUUUCAGGAAUCAUAAGCCUAUUUGUUUAUUUGGUUGAAAUGAGUUGAAAGGUAAUGAAAUUACAGUAUGAUGACUUAUUUUAAUUCGUCUCCAUUUACUCGCCUUUAGAUAGUUUAGAUGGUGUCUAUUUACUCACUGGGAUUUUAUAAUCUCACCACCCUCGUUUCCUCACAUUUCAGGCUUGGGGAAUUCCAUAGUUAGUUGACUUUGACAAGGAUCUUCAUUUGGAUUUGAAUCGGCAAAAGCUGUAGGUUUUCAGCUUUCGAUGCAUUUUGGUUAGAUGUGGGCCCACGUGUCACUGUAAAAGUAAUUUUAUGCUUUGGUUAUUUGUUUUAUAGUAUAUAUGAAUAUAAUUAACUUUUACGCUAUAAGAAUUAUUUACCGAUAGCUUGAUAAAAAUUAUUUUAUAAGAAAAUAGUUUAUUUUAUUAAAUAUUUUUAUUAUAUUCAAAUAGUCAAAUUUUCACUUCAAAUGAACGUUUUAGAUACUUAAUUUGUUUUUAAAUCACUAAAUAUAUAUUUUCUGCUUACCUACUACAUUUUUAGCAAGUUUUGAGAUUUUUGAUAAAAAAUGACGAAAAUACCCAUGUGAGCCAGAAAACAAUAUGUCAUGUUCUGAUUUGGAAAUGACUCGUAAUCUUUCGAAUAACGAUAUUUGAUAACUAUUGCUCACUAAGGAAGUGCGAAAGCUGAAACGAGAGCCUUGUGAGGUUUCGAUCGGCAUUCGGGGUGAAGAAUGUCUGUCGAGGCUUCGCGACAGUUGUCAUGAGCUCGAUGAGAGUUUCGGGUCGUGACACUGGCAUUUUUCAAAAGCCAGGAUUUAACUAGUUUUGUGAUGUUUUGAUGUGCUUAAGGGGAGAUUGAGAAAUUUGGGCACAUGUGUGAGCUGAAAUACGGUUGGAGGUGAAGAAUCAACGUUUGGUUGUGGAGUACCUCCAAUUUGUCACUGUGAGUGGGUUAAUCAAAUGCAUGUGGUGAAUAGCACAUGAAAAAUGCACUGCAUUGGUACUAUAUUAUGAAUGUAGGCCUAGUUGAAUAUGCCUAGGCUAGAGGACUAUGUGUGUAUAUAUGUGUAUGUGAUUGCCUAGAUAGGUGUGCCUAGGCUAUUAUAUUGUUAAUGUACAUGUUAGCAUAUGUGUUCACUUGUGAAGGCCAUUGGGAAGCAUGAGUUGUUAGAGAUCUAGGUGAUGUAUGAUUUUAAUGGCCACUGGAUAUGUUGUGACUAAAUUAGUCUAAUGGUGAUACUAUUAUUGGGAUAAGCCCUGCAACCAAUUGGGAUUGGUUAAGACUUGAUUCCAAUCAUGCAACAGUAUCAUUUAUGUUGAAUGAUUAAAGGUAAUCUUUCAUCAAUAAGACAUCACUUAUAAUGAGUUAUAAGUCUAAUUGGAUGAAGUCCAUGAGAUUAUUAUGCCUUGCAAGGAACUGUAAUAGGUUGCAGUUAUGAGAUCCUUAUGCAUUAAAGCAUAAUCUCAAAAUGUUCCUGGUCAAUGUAUCAUUGAGAUUGGACAUUAGUGAUGUUUAGAAACUGGUAUAUUCUAUGUUCCUUACUUUAGAAGUAAGUAAUCGAUCUCAUAGAUUGAAGUAUAGAGAUACUUGGAAUUAGAAUAUAGGUGCUUGCCUAGGAGAGCAAGUUCACUAAACAUGACCCGCCAUGAGAAGUGCAUUUGGUAAUACACUCAAGUGUCUAUGCAACACUUCUCAUGUGUCAGUCAUGUAAAUACUCCAUAGACUUAAGACACCAGGUUGUCUUAUAUGUGGAGUGCUAUGCUUUGAUUUCAUCCCUACAGGUGCCUAACCAAGGAUGCCAAAACAAUAUGCUUUUGGGUAUAGUAUAAAGUAUGUGAAGGCAAAUGAGUGGUCAAGAUAGGAAUCAUCACCCCAAGUGUUUUAGAAGACAUAUCCUAUCAGUACUUGGUUAACAUUAGCUUAUUGAAGUCCUUGGCCAAGGUGACAUGGAGAUUAUGAAAAAGGUUUCAUAACUCUAUAUAAAGCUAAUAAUAUAACUGCAAGAACAAAUAUGGAGGUAAAUAAGAGUAGACACUAUUCUAAGUUCUUAUCAUCUCUGGGAUAUAUGAUGAGAAAGUGAAUUACACUGAUAGACUGUACAUUGAAAGGUUGUCAAAGAACCUUUGGACUUUCAUAACAAUUGGGUGGCCAUGAUGCAUUGCUAGAUGCCAAUCUUGGUCUAUGGAGUUGAUUAUAAAUUAAUUGAUUGAAAUUUAUAUUAAUCAAUUAAGUCAAUAAUCAAUUCCAUUGCCAACAUGUUGGGAACCUAAUGGGUUACACACAAUGAUUGCAUUUGAAUUAAAUUGAGAAAGUGAUGAUUUAAGUUAAACUUAAAUCACAUGCUAGGUAAUUAACUUCUAUAAACUUAAUUAAAAGAGUUUAAUUAAGUUUUAGACAUAAUUAUAAGGCCUUGAUUGCAAAAUAUAUAAGAAAUUAAUUUUGAUUUUAAUUUUCAAGGACUUAAUUAAAAGAGUUUAAUUAAGUAAUGGGCCCAACAUUAUAAUGUGUUAUAAUAUUGAGUGCUUAAUUGCAAAAUUGAAGUUAUUUUAACCUAACUAUAUAAGUCACCUUUUAACUAUUUUCCAUAUGAGAGUUUUUCAUAAUUGAAGAAAACUUAGUUUUUGUCAGAAAAAGAAAAAUGUUUUCUUUCUUUACCAUCACUCCCUUUAUGUGAAAGAGAAAAUUGCUUUUGAAGCAAUUUUCGAUAGAGGUUCGGCUAAGAUUGUGAAAAAGAAGAAAAAGACAAUUGUUGUCCUUUUUGCUAGUACAAACUAUAGUUAAAAACUCCCUUCUUUAUUGAAGGUUCAAGUGCAAUCGUGUGUACUACUGUUAGAAGCCAAGCACUUGAUUGGCUAGGGUUUUUGCUUCUUGUGGUGUUCGCAAGAUUGCUUCAAGAAGCGUCAUUGUGAUUACAAAAUUACUUGGCAAGGUAACUUUCUGAAUAAUAAUUUAUUUUGUGCUUUUAUGUGUUAAAUAUCACCAAGGUGAUCAAUUGGUGGAGGCAUGUUUUGGUUGUUUAGUUAUAAAGUUUUAAUUUUCUUUCCGCUACGUAUUUUGUGCAUGCUGUCUAUAGCCAAACCCAUCAACUAUGAUGUGGGAUUACAUUGCCCAUUUGUUGACGGGAUAUUGAUGCAUGAUCUGAUGUGAUAUUAUUCAUGUAUAUACGGCUAUUAGGCCAUGAUUAAAUUAAAGUGAGAUUGUUGAUGUAUAUGUAGCAAGUGAGCCAUUAUUAUUGAGGCACUUAGAAUUUUAAUGAGCUUAUUAACAAAUGAAGCUCAAUAAAUGUGAUUGUUACUAUGAUGUAGACAUAUGGAUGAGAUAAAGGCAUGAUGGCCUAUAUUGUGAAAUUUUGUUUUGUUCGAGGAAUAAAUUCAAGACGUUGAUUUGACUUGAAGUUGAAUGGGUCUCGUUACCUUAUGACUGUAUGUGUGCAGAUGUAGAGAUGGUGGUAAACAAGGGUUAUGGCUUAAUCUUGCUUGUGAUUCCCACCUAUAAUGUUGUGAUUUUGCCUAUCAGGAGAUUACUUCAGGUGAUGUCACCAACGGAAGAUUACUCCGUGUGAUGCCGAUUGUCGGGAGAUUACUCCAGUUGAUGAUAUGAUUUUUUGCUAGCUGCUUCGAUGCUAGGCAUGAUUUGAUUCUCUGCCCAUUGCCUCAACAUGCGCAUGGGUUGCAUUUUGUCAGCGGCUUUACCCUAUGUGUGAUUUGUUUCUCCAUCGGCUAGCCAUAGUGCAUGAUUUGACUUUGUCCAAUGGAGAACCACUCAUUGAUCUGACGUGAUAUGAAUUGAUUUGUAUACGACGUGUGAUAGCCUUGGAGAGGCCUAGAUAAUUAUGAUAUGAAUUGAUACGAUACUCCAGUAACUGAAGUGUGCCAUGAAGAAUGAUAUGAUUAACUUUGAAUUGGCUUUGAGAGUAAGCCUAAUGAUAUGUGCGAUGAUUUUUGAGGAUGUUGGGGAUGAUGAUAUACUCUCAUAAUGGAGACUUAGGGAUAAUGUAUGCCCUCUAUUUGUAGAUGCUUGCUAGAUUUUGUCAAUGCAGUAGGAGUACAAUAUUUAUUAUGUGUCCAAUGUAUGUAUAUGAUUAUGAUUAUGUGCACCAUUCACUAAGUAUUAUAGUACUCACCCAUUUUGUACCAUGUGUAGAUAAAUAGGCCACUGGACAGAGUGUGGCAAGGGUCGUCCAUUGAUAGACCAAUUUUGGCAUCCGGUAGAUCUCUUAUUUUGGUCACUCUAUCGGGUCAAGUCCACAUUAGCCUCUGCACUAUAAAUUUUAAGCUUAGAGAAAAAUGUGUUUUGGAUAUUGUAGGCACUGAGUGCCAUGUAAUAUUGUGUUGUUAUGUAUGAACCUGCCUUGAAUGGUUAAUGUGUGACCUUAUGAUACUUGCAUGAAUUAUGUGCUAAGGAUGAUGUACUAUGUUGAACUUGAAUUUUAUUUAUGAAUAUGACAUAUGGAAUCCCUUGGCUAUGUGUUAUUUGAUUUUGAACCCUAAAGCUUGCUCGGGUUUCGUGGGCUUUGCCUACCAAGCUUAUGUGUCGGUCACAGACCCUAGGGUUUAGGUUGUGACAACACAUCUCAUCAUAUUAUGCCUUGUCGGAUCAUAACUCAAAAAUGUAUCACAUUCAUAAUUUUCAAAACUCUAUGUUACCAUACCAGAGCAUAUCAAAUUAAGGCUUAACUGAAAAACUGUCAUCAAAUUAGACUCCAUAGCUCAUCCUAGUAGCUGAGCAUAAUCACAAUAAUUGAUAUCCAUAAUUUGCUUACCUCGAAGCGUUUCAUCAAAUAUCAAUCAUAUUUUCAUCUUACAUCUCCUAUUUUAUGGGCACAUCCAUCAUCCCUAGGGAGUCUCCAUUUCCAUACAUAUAUUAUUAGGCUCAUCCUCAAAGUCAUAUCAACAUAAACAUACAUAGGCACAAGCUAGUUGUUAAGAUAUCAUAACAGUUUCAAAUCAUUUUCAUCUGAGCCUAUCCAAGGCUAUGUCAUAUCAUACACCAAUCAUAUCAUAAUCUUUGAGUGGUCCACCCUAGACAUAGUCAAAUCACGCACGGUGGCAGGUUGGCGGAGUCAAAUCAUGCUCAGGGCAAAGCCGUUGGCAGAGAAAUAAAUCAUGUGCGUGCUGAAGCAAUAGGCAGAGAAUCAAAUUAUCAUUCGAGUAGUCUCCCAAACGGAUAACAUUAUUUGAAGUAUUGUCAGAUGAGUGGCAUCAUAUACAUAAUCAUCAUCCAGAGUAAUCUCCGAACGGAUGACAUCACCUGAAUUAAUCUCAAUGGGUGGUAUCAAAGCAUUGUAAACGAGAAUCAUAGGCGGGAUUAACACCACCAGCCCUACAUGCAUAUACAUAGUCACAAGGGUUGGACUCCACCCAGCCUCAAAUUAGAUCAACGUUCGACAUUCACCCAUUGGACAGAACAACAUCAUACUCAUGGGCCAUCAUUACCCCUGUAGUUCAUAACUCAUAAUUCACAUCAUCAAUCGAGCUCCCUAGCCUCACGUAUGUAAACAACUUACCUUAAAGAUCAUGGCUCAAUAGCCUUACAUAUUGACACAGUUCACCUCAUAGUUCACAAACAAGACCAUCAUGCCUUCAAUGAUUCCAUAUGUCCAUACAAAACCACAAAUCAUAAUGGACGAACUUCAAUCACUUAUAAGCUUAAUACAGUUCUAAGUGCCCUUAGUCUAUAAGGCCUCAAAUGAUCAUACUCCUCCACGAGAUUUAGUGUCUAGAGUAUACUAUUCCUAGAUGUACACCAUAGUCACUAGACUUCCUAGUCUAGGUUUACACAACAUAGGCCACCAUGUGGCUUGCACUAAGGCACAUAGCGCAACACAUACAUAUCUCUAGCCUAGGCAUACUCAUCUAGGCAAUCAUAUAUCAAACAAAUACACAAAGCUCGUUACUCAUUGGACAUUCGACAAAGGGCAAUAAAGUUAUGUAAUAACCAAGGGAUCUAGCAACUCAUGCUUCCCAAUAACAUUCAAAGGGUUCUCUAGCCUAGGCAUGCUCAUCUAGGCAUAAACAUAACAAUUAAGUACCAUGGCAACACAUAUUAUUAUGCGUUAUGCAUUACAAUCAUUUUCAAACAUAAAAGCUCCACUCACAAUGACAAUUGGAACCGUCUUAUAGCUCACCAACGCGUUAGGUAGCUUCAACUUUCCUUUAAUCACAUCAAAGCAUCACAAAAAUAUUUAGCUUUGAAAAUAUCUAGCUUUUACAAAACAACCAAAUUCCAUAAAUGAACUAAAAAUCUUCUAUGAUGAGCUAAAUCCUUACCUUAGUGGCUGGGUUACCCAAUUCUUAACUUGAAAUACCUAGCAAACUCAAGGGAGAAAAAUCUCACCAAAGCUAGACCAAAUCGAAUCUAAGUUAUUUAUUGAUUAAAUUGAAAAUCAAUUAGUAAAAAUGCUUAAUCUUACCUUCAGAAGAGUUUCUUGAGCAUAGAUUUAGCUCAAACAAGCUCCAAAUAGCAUUUGGUAACUUAAAGUUUUAAAUGAGGUAGAGAGAUAAAGAAAGAGAAAAAAGGUUUUCUCUUCAAAUGGGUGGAAUGCUUGAAACCCCGUUUUUAUUUUUGCAAUCAUACAAGGAUGUAUCAAUACAUUCUUAAUGAAUUCCCAUUAAAUGUAAUGGUGCAUGAGACCAUGUAUCGAUACAUGUUAUUUAGAUUGCAAUCGACUUUAAAUCUAUCGAUACAUUCUUGAAUGUAUCGAUAGAAAAUCCUCAGAACACCUCAUAUUAUUCUUAUUGCCAAGAAUGUAUCAAUAUAUUAAGGAAUGUAUCGAUACAUUUUCCCCUGUAGGCACUUUUCAGCCUUCCAAACUUUUAAAAAUCUGAUUCUUAACACCUCAAAUUAUUAUCCUGUUUAAAUCACACCUCAAGUCAUUCAUAUAAUUCAAAUCCAUAUAUAUAUAUAUAUAUAUAUCUCCAAAUAUCAUGUCAAAUUCAAAUCAAAACCUCUAGUUAUAGGAUUUAUCACAUAUUUCUAUAAAUAUUUGCCUAAGUGUCAAUAUACAUACUUUCAUACACUUGGUAUACAUAACAUGUCAUCAAGACUUAAUAUAUUUCAUCAAUCAUCCUUAGUUAACUUAGUUUACAUAGAAAAUUGGGGGUGUUACACUCAUUACACUCUAUGUCACAUAGUGUACAAAUCAAAACUUAGCAUAAUUUUGUUUAAGCAUAUUCUCCUAAAUGCCAAACAAUGCACUUUAUUGGUUUGAUUCUCAUAUCCUCAUAUUUCAUAUUCAUUGCUUUAUGGACAUAGGCAUACCCUUAAGCUCAUAAACACGCACAUCACAAUUUAAUUAAUCUCGUUCAUUAGCUUAGCCAUUUUAACUUAUCAUUGUAUGUUCUCACACACCUACACCAAAAGUAAGGGAAACCAUGCAUGCCUAUAAAAAGGCUAAGUCUAGCUCAUGGGAUCUCAUAACUGCCCUGGAUGGUAGGCUGUCUAGAAUAGAGUUGGCAGUUAGUGAAAUGAGGGACAAGUUAGAUGAGUAUGAAGAGCAUAUGGAAGAGCUCAACUUGAAGGAUGAGGUUUAAGAGACGAUACAGGAGGCCCUUGUAAUGGUGACAGAGAAAAACUCUAAACUAGAAAGUUUUAUGGAGUCCUUGAGGCACCAAUUGAAGGAUUUGAAGGCGAAGGUCAGUUCUUCGAGGGUUGAAGGCAAUUAUGGAGUUGUUGUGUAACUAGAGGUAACAAAGUUGAGGGAGUUUAAAGGUAGGCAUGUUGCUAAGGAAAUUGACAAGUUCCUUUGGGGGCUAAAGCAUUUCUUCAAGGCUACGGGUAUAGUGAUGGAUGACCAGCAUGUUAUCACCGCAUCCGUGUAUCUUGGCAAUACAACACUAUUUUGGUGGAGAAAACGAUGUAAUUAGAGCUCGAAGGAGCCCUAGGAUGCAUAUGUUGAUUUUCAAUGAGAGUUACACUAGAAGUUUUACAAAAAAUGUGAAAAAUGAGGCUUGAGGUAAAUUGCAUAGGCUGGUCCAAUGGGGAAAGAUGAACUAGUAUGUUAGGGAGUUUAAUGAAUUAGCAUUGCAAGUGAGUAACCUCAGUUUAAAAAAAGGAAUUCUUUACCUUCACAAAUGGCCUACGGCCUUGGGCAAAACAAUAGCUACAGAAGAGAAGAGUCCAAGACUUGUCUUGUGCUUUGUUGGUGAAGGAAAGCCUAAUCGAGUACCCUAAGUUACAUAAUAAACCUGCACCCCCUUAAACCAAGGGAAAGGGAAGAAUUGAGGGGUUGGGUGGGGGAGAUAAAGGCAAGCAUUCGAAAGAGAAAGGUGGUGGCAAGGGCAUAACACAAACCAAAGGGAAAUGGAAAUUGACUUGGAAUAGAGAAAGGAAGCCCUACAAUUAUUUCUUUGUGUGAUAGCCCAUAUUAGGUUAAGGACUGCCCAAGAAAACUAAGCUAGUGGCAAUUGCCUUAAAGGAAUAGUUGCAAUAGAGUGAGAUUCCAAAAUUGGAAUCAAUGUUGUAAGGAGUAGUCAAAAAGGUUGGGAGCUAAGCCAAGAGGCUCAUUAUACACAGACCUAGUGGUAACAAGUCAAUGUGUUGAGGCAUUAGAAGGCAUUGGUACAUCAAACUUGUUUGUGUCUAAGUAGGCUACCAAGAGGCUAGGACUUAAGGUCGAGUCUAAUGGGGGUUGGACCAAGAUGGUUAACUCUCAUCGAGUGCAUAUUAAGAGCAUUACAAAGGGUGUCGAGGUACAAUUGCGUGAGUGGCACAAGAAAAAGUUUAUCGAGGUGAUUUCAAUGGAUGACUACGAUUUGGUCAUGUAACUUAUGUUCAUGGAAAAGAUUUAGGCUUUGUUGAUUCUGCAUGCCGACUGUAUCUAUGUAUUGGACACUUGGAAGUAGUGUGUGAUAUUAGUCACGUGUGAAACCCCAAUUUUUUACAUUGUGGAAAUUUAGUGGAAAUAUGAAGUCUUGUGAGUUAUGCAUUGGUGAUGAUUAUCUAUGAGAAUUCCUAGUCGUUUGAUGUAAAUCUCUUUAAAUUAUUUUGUUAUAUUCAUGGAUGAAUGAUGGUUGAAGGAAUGGUCGAAUAAGGAAACAAAAUGGAUGAAUUUUUGCAAGAAUGAGCUUGAAGGGUCGACCUUCCAUGGUUAAAACUCGACCUUAAUAACAUGGGGUUUACAAAACAUCAACAUUCUGGUUUAGGGUUGACUAUACAAGGCCAAAACUCGACCCUAGGUAGAAAUAUUAAGCCAUAGUCAACUAUGGAGUUUAAAGAGUUGACCCUUGGAUAGCCUGACAUAAAAAUAAAAGCUCAACUCGAACCCUAGCCUACAUUUUUCAUUUUCUCAGCCUUCAACUUGUCCCCAAUAACCACCAAACCCUCUCCCAACCUCUUAAAACCUCUUUGGAUUACAAUUCAACCUCCCAAACUUGAAUGGAAGGUAAGAUUUAUCAUUUUUUGAUUUUAAUCAUAAGAUUCUGCUCGAACUCUAGAAUUUACUAUUUUCAGCUCAUUUAGCUCAUUUUUUAGGAAGGGAUUUUGGGGGAUUUGCUCUUUGAGGUAUUGACAGAUAUUCCAUUACCAUAUUUUAGGGAGAGUAAGUGUGAGCCAGUGAUUCCAUUCCCCCAUAUGCAUGCACUCAUGUUGAUUGAGAGUUAUACCAUAGAGGCCAUGGUUGACGGUAGUUAUUAUGUCAUAAAUUUUAAAUGAUGAAUGUUAAUUGAUGAAUGUUACUUGAUGUAUGUUAAUGAUGUAGUUGAUUUUAUUUAAUGGUUAUGAUGUGUAAUGUUCACAUUGGUAUGAUUCAUGGAAUGUUGGAACGAGGUUCCUUAGUUUGUUAUGAAGGUAAAAGGUAAAGUUGAUAUGAGAUUCAAUGACAGUUAGUCCAAAUUUUCUUGUGUUCUAUGUGCAUGGUUGAUGAGCCCUUGAAGGUAAGCCUCUCUCCCAUGGCAUAAUUUAGCCCUUUUUGGAUGUGAUUCAAAAAAAUUUACAUUCAAAUUGGUUUCUAAAGGAUUAAAUGAUUUCUUCAUGCAUAAAAAGUGUUUCCAUAGUUUAUUUGGAUUAUUUACUUAAUGAUUUAAAGGAAUAGUAUUUAUUUCUAAUGAAUUUAUGAAACUUGUUUGAAAGCAUGGUUAUUCUCUUACAAGUUCCUUAUACGUAUUUGAAAGAUUAUACAUGCAAGUUUAUAUAAAUGUUUAUUUGCGCAAAAGCUCUAAUCCCUUGACUUGUCCCCUUCCUAUAUCCACUCAUGGAGUCUUUGUGACUCACGUUAGUUUUCCUUAUUUUUGUUGUAAAUCAGUGAUAGCUGUUGAGCACUCGUGUCAUGGAAACGGGUCCGUUCUUCUUUUGGGUAAGUGACAUAGCAACCUUCUUGAAGCCUAGGGAGUCGAUGUUAGAAAUUUGAGAAUAUGAUGCCUUUGAAAGCAAGUAUAUUCUUAUGUUUAAUUCAUUUAAUUUAUUUGUAAUGAAAGUACAUUUUGAUAAUAAGAUGAAGAGUUUGUUUUAAGUAAGCAUUCAUUAUCUAAUUAUUAAGGUACCAUGAUUCUAUUGAGAUAUUAAAAUACAUUUGUAUGAGGAGUCAUACAUAGGAGACACGUAUUUUAAUUGAAUAUAAAUAUUGUUCACAACCGCAUAAUAAAGCUGGUCACUUUAUUGUGUUAAGGCUAUAGUGUCCAGAUUACUUCCAAUGAAAUGAAUGUGAUUGACUUUAAGGGAAUGAUGAGCCUUAAAUCAUCAAAAUGGUUGACUUUGAGUAAUGACACUAUAGCAUGAACUGGAAUCAUGUGAGAAUCAAGUUUUAGUUUAACCGUUACUUAAAUCUUGAUCUCACACUUAUGCAUUUACUUAUAGUAGAGUCGAAAUCCUAAUGGAUAGUGGACUUGUGUUUAAUCUUCUUAUAAUCUUUGAUAUACCACGUGCAUAAAGCGUUGAUAUGGACUCCUUAUGUUGGGAUUAUAAUCAAGAUGAACAUUUGGGAACAUAUAUCUAAAUAGUAGAUUUCAUAGCAUAAACAUCACUUCUAGUGAUUUCAAAAAGAUUGGUGAUUAAUCUACGCCAAAUGGAUUGAUGAAUUAGCUACUCAUCACAUAUGGAUACUCAAAAGAUUAUAUAUAGAGUAUUGAAUAACUAAUUGGAUGAAAUUCAAGACUAGAGAACAAAGCUAACAUCAAGGGUAAAACAAUAAUUUCACUUUUUGUUAUUAGAUGAUUAUGAGGGUUCACAAAAUAAAGUUUGCAAUUGGACAACCAAUAAUUAAUAUCAAGUAUUGAAUCAUUUCUUGUAAUUAUAGUUAAUCCAAGAGUGCAACCAUGAAUCGACAGUGGAGUGAUUUCAUGAUUAAUAAGCCUGAAUGAUCUUAAUGAGAUUAAGAAUAAUUCUAAGUUUGUUAAAGCUUGGAAUAUCUAUGCCCAAAUAGAUUCCCACUUAGCUUCAUAUAAUUCAACUUGUUUAAAUUAGAAUGUGUUGUCAAUUUUGCACAAGCAAGUAUAUGUAUCGAACAAGUAAUAUAGUAAUGAAGUAGAGUAUCAUUCUCAUGGAGAUUUGUUCCUAAAGUUUCACUAAUUACUAAAAUUAUAAAACAAAUUAAUCUUAUUCAAGUAAUCCAAAAAUUGAAGAGAAACUAAUUAAAAACAAUUAAAAAUCAACAUUAAAUGAACUAACGAACUAAAUAAGUUGAGAAAACUAGUACAUUAAAGACCAAUGAUUAUGGGUUUAUUCAACAUUCCACCUAAUACCAGCUUUUCUUGUUAUUUAUCUUUCCUGGGUGGUUUUACUAACCUAGAAUCAAAAGCUAUGGACAAGUCUUCGUCGAGUUGCUUCUACAAAUACCUAACUUAAUUAGUUCACUAUAUGUCUUCAAGAAUCAAUUAAAUUAAGUUCAUUAAGCAAGUGUCCUAAUGUGGCUAUGUAUGUCAAUUGGCGUAUGUCGACUCGAAUGGCAAAUUAGAUCACCUAAGUGAUGUGAACAUACACCAUUCAAACCUUAGUCCAAUCUAAAUUCUCUCUGUUGAGUCUCAAUUAGAUUCACAAAUCAGUUAAUUGUUAGCCAGACAAUCAAAAGCAUUAAGAACAUAUUUGAAUAGGCAAAACUACACCCAUUCAUGAUAAAUACAAGAGAAACUAAUAUUCAAACUACAUGUUGAAAUACAUCACAAUUCUAAAAAGAUAAUUUAGCUCAUCAUAUGUAAUAGAAACAAUAUACAAAGAAAUUUAGCCAUGAAUCCAAGACAAAGAAAAUAAAAGAAACACAAAAGUAGAGAAAGAAACUAAGUGUUAAAGAUUUACAAUCUCAAUUCUCUCUCAAAUUCUCUUGUUUUCUUGCUUUGUUCUUAGCUUCAAAUCUCCAGAAUAGUUGCUUGCUGCCUCCCCUUUAAAACCUUUGAAAAAGGUCCCUUAAAUAGUCUCCAAGUGACUUAAUUUCCAAAGUCCCAUCAAACUUUUAUUUUUGGAAAAUCUUUCAGUGCCGCGACCUUGAUUUCUUGAUGCUGCAACGCUGGAUUUUCAUCGUUGGAUAGGUAAAUUAAAUGAAACUGGUACAAUUAAAUCUAGUUCAAAGGCAAAUAACAUGCAUAAAAAAAUUUAACGAAAACAAACUAACCUAAACUAUCACAAAAACAAAUAACAAUAAAACCCUCCCUCAAACUUAAAUUGCACAUUGUCCUCAAUGUGAAAAGCUAAAAAGAAUAAGGAAAAAAAACUCCCUUUUAAUGGUGACAGUGCAUUGAAAGCUCUAAUGUUCAUCCUCCUUAUCUUUGUGCUUUCUAAACCUGCAAACUCAACAAACAAGCUAGAGAGAGGUUAUAACUACUUAUUUAAAUAGAAAAGCAAAACUAAGAAAAUAACUACUAAACAUAAAAGGAUAUAGCUUUGGUUGCCUCCCAAGAAGCGCUUUUUUAUAGUCACUAGUUUGACUAUGAUGCCCUUUUUGUUGCUUCUUCAUCAUCGCAAAAAUGCUUCAGGCUUUCUUUAAUUACCUUGAAUGCUCCAGUAAGUGUACUAAAAAUUUAAACAUAGCCAUAUGACAAAAGUUUUACCACCUUAAAGGUUUUCCACCAAUGUGGUUAAAGUUGCCAUGGUAAGAGGUGGAGGCAUGCACUAGAGAGUGUUGCAUGUUAUCCAACCUCAAAAUCUAUAUCACUAGAAGGUGGUAGAUUAUGCACAUCAUAACAUUGCUUCAUGUUCAGAUGUAGUGGGGGUGGCUCUAACUCAUGAGUUGGUGCUUGUUUACUUGUAGGUGGUGGACUAGGAUUACUUUUACCUUCAUUGGUUAAGUCCACUCUAUAACAUUGAGCUAUAAAGGAAAGGUUUUUAGGAGCAUUGAAAAUAAUAAAUUCAACUACCUCCUCUCCAACUCUAAGAGUUAUUCUGCCUUCCCUUACAUCGAUUAAUGCGCCUGCAGUGGCCAAGAAAAGACAUCCCAAUAUGAUUGCAAUCUCUUGAUCUUCCUCUAUCUCAAGUACAACGAAAUCCACUAGAAUGUACAAUUUCCCAACUUUAAGCAAGACAUCCCUUAUAACCACACAAGGGUGCCUUAUUGUUCUGUUAGCUAGUUGCAAAGUGAUUGUAGUAGGUUGAAUCUCUUGCAGUCAAAUUCUCCUAGCAACAAACAAAGGAAUAAUUGUGACACGAGCACCCAAGUUACACAAAGCUUUUGAAAAACUAAAAUUGCCAAUUGAGCAAGGGAUAGAAAAACUUUUUGUGUCCUUAACUUUGGUAGAAACUUGUUCUGGAUUAUUGCGCUACACUCCUCAAUAAGUGCAAUUGUCUCAAAAUCCUCUACUAUUCUUUAUUGAUAUGUUUUUCAGGAACUUCACAUAUGAUGACAUUUGCUCUAAAGCUUCUGCAAAAGAAAUGUUGAUGGGAAGCUUUUGAAUACCUCAAGAAAUUUUUGGAAGUGCUUAUCAAGCUUUUGUUUCUGAAGGCGCUAAGGAAAGGGUGGUGGUGGUAAAGUUGUCUUAGCUUCCUUCUCUUGACUUUGCUUGUCAACUGUCUCAAUCAUUGUUUUAUUCUCAAUAGGCUCAUCUUAAAAAUUAGCUUGCCUAACACUAUGUUCAACCUUUUUUUUGCUCUUUAAAGUGAUUACCAUAACUUAUUCCUUACCUUCUUUCCUUGGAUUCACCUCUGUAUCACUAGGCAAUGUUCCUUGAGGUUAAUUGUUUAAUAAAUUGGCAAGCUGACCAACCUGAGUCUCAAGGUUUCGAAUUGACGCUGCUUGACUCUGAAUGAGAGCUGUUUGACUUUCUAUAAUGUUAUCAUUUUGUGUCAUAUACUGCCUUAGUAGAUCUUUCGCAACUGACUUUUUUUUGAAAUAGGUGCGUCGGCUUGCUGGUGAAAUCCUAGAGGUGCAUUUGGCCUUAAAGGUGAGGACGAACCUUGAUUAUUAGCCUAAAAGAAAUUGGGAUGAUUCCUCCACCCUAGGUUGUAAGUGUUGGAGUAGGGGUUAUUUUGCUGUUUAUUACCCACAAAUUGCACUACCUCUAUUGAGAUUGGACAUUGAUAGCUUGCAAGAUUAUCUCCGUAUAACUCAUAAGCUAUAAAAAGACUUUGCAAACUAUUAGUACCAAAAGAUUCAAGAGUUUUAGUUAAAGUUGCUACCUAAGCAGAUAACGCUGAAAAAACAUCUCAAUCAUGAAUUCUAGCUACUCUCCUAUGCAUUGAUCACUCCACUAACCACUAGUAGUUGUUUCCAACCAUCUUUUCCAACAAAUUGUAUGCCUUAUCAAUCAAUUUAGCCAUCAAAGUCUAUCCCGCCGUAGCAUCAAUGGUGGUUCAAACAUGCCCACUCAAACCAUUGUAGAAAGUUUGCACCUGAAGCCACUUUGGAAGCCCAUGAUGAAGACACCGCCGAAGUAAUUCUUUGUAUAUUUCCCAAGCCUCGUACAAUGAUUCAGAAUCUUAAUGCAUGAAUAAUGUGAUAUCAUUCCUCAUUUUUGUUGUCUUAGUCGGAGGGAAGAAUUUGGCAAGAAAUUUUUUAGCAAGAUCAUCCCAUGUUGUUAUAGAGCAAGUAGAGAGUGCAUUUAGCCACGCUUUAGCUUUAUCCCUCAAGGAGAAGGGAAAAUGCAUUAACCGAAUUGCAUUAUUUGUGACACCAUUGUGCUUGAACAUGUCACAAAUCUCCAACAAGUUUGAUAUAUGGCCAUUUAGAUAAUCACUUGCAAGACCCUAAACUGAACCAAAGUUUGAAUCAUGGUGAUGAUAGUUGGCUUGAUUUCAAAACUGUUUGCUUGAAUAGCUGGCCUUCGAAUGCUUGAUGGAAUUCCUUAUACCAAAGGAACAACAUAGUCCCUUAAGCAACGAUUGUUAGCUAUUACACACUCUUGGACUUGCUAUUCACCCUAAUGAUCAUCCAUUGUAUUUAUUGGAGUAACACCUUGUUGAUUCUUUCUUUGAAGUCUGCAAAAUGUUUGCUCAAUUUCCAGAUCAUGCAAGAUAGUUUCUAAGUUGUUUGUUCUGCUCAUACAACAGCUGUACACAAAUGCAAAACAAAGAAAUAAAACUUAAAUUAAGACUAAUCUAUAAAAUUUUAGUAUUAGCAAAUAACAAAGAAAACAAAAUCCCCGGCAACAGCGCCAAAAAUUUCUUUUUAAUUUUGCACAUGCAAGUAUACGUAUCAAACAAGUAAUAUAGUGAUGAAGUAGAGUAUCGUUCCCACGAAAAUUUGUUCCUAAAGUUUCACUAAUUACUAAAAUUAUAAAACAAACUAAUCUUAUUUAAGCAAUCCAAAAAUUAAAGAAAAACUAAUUAAAAAUAAUUAAAAAUCAAUACUAAAUAAACUAACAAACUAAAUAACUUGAGAAAAGUAGUAUAUUAAAGACCUAGGAUUAUGAGUUCAUUUAAUAUUCUAUUUGGUACUAGCUCUUCUUGUUAUUUAUCUUUCCUAGGUGGUUUGACUAACCUAGAAUCCAAAGCUAUGGACAAGUCUCCAUCAAGUUGCUUGUACAAAUACGUAACUUAAUUAGUUCACUAUAUGUCUAUAGGAAUCAAUUAAAUUAAGUUCAUUAAGCAAGUGUCCUAAUGUGGCUAUGUAUGGCAAUUGGCCCAUGUCUACCUGAAUCGCGAAUCAAAUCACUUGAGUGACAUGAACAUGCACUAUUCAAACCUUAGUCCAAUCUAAAAUCUCUUUGUCGAGUCUCAAUUAGAUUUACAAAUUAGUUAAUUGUUGGCUAGACAAUCAAAAGCAUUAAGAACAGAUUUGAAUAAGCAAACUGCGCCCAUUCAUGAUAAAUACAAGAAAAACUAAUAUUCAAACUACAUGUAAAGUCCACCAUAAUCCUAAAAAGAUAAUUUAGCUCAUAAUAUGUAAUAAAAACAAUAUCCAAAGAAAUUUCACCAUCAAUCCAAGUCAAAGAAAAUAAAAGAAACACAAAAGUAAAGAAAGCAACUAAGUGUUAAAGCUUUGUAAUCUAAAUUCUCUCUCAAAUUCUUCUAUUUCUUGCUUUGUUCUUGGCUUCAAAUCUCCAGAAUAGUUGCUUGCUGCCUCCCCUUUAAAACCUUUGAAAAAGGUUCCUUAAAUUGGCUCCAAGUAACCGAAUUUCCAAAAUCCUGUCAAAUUUUUAUUUUUGGAAAAUCUCCCAGAGCUGUGGUAGUGGAUUUUUGCUACAGUAGCAUUGCGGUGCUGAGCUCUUGGGAAAAUGUAUGGUGCACUAUGGUGGUCUAUCAAAUUUGAAUGUAAUUUUUACCCUGAUUUGUUCCGAACUAGGUAAAAUGGUAAACAUGAAUGUUUUAGCCUUAUCUCUUAACUUCCCAAUGAAUCAUGAAUCAGGUCGAUUGGACUUCUAGAUUGCAUGAUAUGCUCCAAAUACCAUAUCAUAUUCAGUCUAUGCAUACUGUUGCAGUGCUUUGACUUAGACAAAUAUUUUGACCAUGAUAAGAUCAGAGCUGGGCAAAAUGGCAAAUAAAAAAAUUUUUAGCUCUUAUGCUUAGCAUUAUAAUGGUCUAUGAAUCAAUUCAUUUGGAGUUCUGUAAGGAGAGAUAUGGUCAAAAUACCGUAACAUAUACGAAUGAAGCCAUCACCAUACUUGCACGUAUUUUCAUCAAAUGAGUCUUUUUCAUCAAAUUUCCUACAAAAGCAAUAAAAAAACCAACAAUAACUACUCUUAAAGCAAUUUAAAACAAAAUAACGUAAAAUUUAACUAAAAUGCCUUAAAUUAACUACUCAACAUGUAAUCAAAUUUAAACUAGAAAAAUAGGUAAAAUAAUAAAAUCCAAAACUAAAAUCUCAAAGAUCUAGCAACAUAAGCCCCCAAAAUGUGUCAAAAUAACUCUAUCUAAUAAAGUUAUCACACCCUCAAACUUAUGAUUUUGCUAGUCCUUUAGCAAAACAUUACGUUCAGGCUCUAAUCUUGGCUACAUAUAGCUUAUAAGUAUAUGUUUACCAUAUAUGCAAAUCAAACCACCUAAUCAACCAAAUGUAUUUGAUCAUACGCUAUUCUAUUCAAGAUCUACUUAAAUCCCCUUCGUCAAGGUUUAACUUAGGUUUCCAAUUCAAUCUAAUUAAUGGCUAAUCAAUUAGAAGCAUUAAGAACAAAAUAUAAUAAACAACUUAAAUCCAUUAAACAAAAGCAAAAGAGAGAAAAAUAAAUUAGACUACAUAUUGAGUUCAAUCAUAAUCUUAGAUAAAUAAUUUAGUUCCCCAUGAACUCACACAUUAUCACCAAAUAAAGUUUAUCAUCAAAACCAAAAUCAAGAAAAUAAAAGAACAACAAAAGGAUAAAAGAACCCAAGGGUUGAAAUUUUGAUCUCCCUAUCUUCUUGAAUCCUUCAAAUUCUUGUUAGCUUCAAUGAGACUUUUCUUUAAUAACUUUGUGGCUUGAUUUUCAGCUCUGUUUGGUGUUUCAUUCUUCUUUAAAAGUCCUCAAAAAAAUUAUAUUUUUUAGGGCUUUGAAGUUAAGCCAAGUUUGGUGAAGAAAGAAGCCAAUUACAAUAAGGAUUUCCUUAUCAGGCUACAUGAGCCGUGGCUUACCUCUAUCAAGGCAACGACCUCAACCAAUUAAUUAGCAGAAAUCAUAAUUUCUCUAAAACUACUGCAGUGCUUCAAAUUCAACAAUAUUUUUGACUAAUUUCUAGGACAAAAUGGGCAAAGUGAUAAACAUUAAAUUGUAGCUUUUUAUCGUAACUUUCUAAUGGUCUAAGAAUCAUCUCAUUUAGAGCUCUGUAGAGAGAGUUAUGGUCAAAAUACUAAAACAUAUACAGUGGAAGUUUGCACCUCAAAAUUGCUUUCCUUCUUCCAUUAAAAUUCUUCCUUCAUUAAACACUUACAAAAGCACAAAGAAAUUAAUAACAACCUAUCUUAAUCACAUUAACACCAAAUUAAGCAUAAAAUUAACUAAAUUUAGAUGGACUCAAAUAAAUUAAUUGACUUAAAAUAACUUUAAAAACAUCUAUUAAUUUAUGUACAUUACUACAAGAACUAAGCUAAAUUACUAGCAAAAUCAAGCCCAAAUAACUCUAUAUAAUAGAGUUAUCAAAUUGACUUCGCUAGCUGGCUAUUGUGCAUGAUUUGACUAUGUAUAAGGAGGACCACUCAAAGAUUAUGAUUUGAUUUGUAAAUGAUGUGGCAUAGCCUUGGUUAGGCUCAGAUGAAAAUGAUUUGAAAUUGUUAUGAUACCUUGGCAACUAAUGUGUGCCUUUGGAUCUUUACUUUGAUACGGCUUUAUGGAUAAGGCUAAUAAAAUGUAUACCAAUGUGGAGACUCCUUAGGGAUGACUGUUAUGCCCUUAACAUUAGAGAGAUAUGAUUGAAAUAUGACUAAUGUUUGGUGAAAAGCUUUUAGGUAAGCAAAUUAUAUGUAUAUGGGUUUUAAGGAUGUGCUCGGCAACUAAGGUGUGCCUAUAGAGCCUAGUUUGAUGGUGGCUUUAAGGUUAAGCCUUAACUUGAUAUGAUGUGAUAUGGUGACAUAGAGUUCCAAAAAUUAUGAAUGUGAUACACUGUUAAAUCGUUAUCGGACAAGGCAUAAUAUGAUGAGAUGUACACGUGGGAUGCAGGGAUGAUCCUUGCACCUUUAUCUUUGAAGAUGUUUGAUAAGUAGGCAUGGUUGCCUCUUAACUAGAUAUGCCUUAUAUGUAUGCGUAUAUGUUAUAUUAUGUUAUGUUAACAUCUCCUCACUGAGUAUUAGAUGACUCACCCCUCUAUUGUACCAUAUGCAAAUAAGUAAGGCUACGAGAUUGCAUGUUUAGUGUUGUCAUUUGGACAUACACAUAUUUGGCAUCCAGUAGGUUCCCCAUACCAUGUGGUCACUUUCUUGAGUUCAAACUAUGUUAUCUUCCGUUGGUGGUACUAGUUUCCCAACCAUGUGUAUUUGGGAUCUAUGUAGGCACAAUGUUGCCGUUUAUAUUUCUAUAAAGGCUAUAUGAUACGAACCCGCUAUGAUGGCCAAUGUAUGGCCUUAUGGAUAUUGUGUAUGAAUUAUAUGCCAAGGGGCCAUGUUUAUGUAACUGAAUCUAAUUAUAUAUAAAAAUAUGAGUUUGGAAAUCCUUGGCAAUGUGUGAAUGGUUUGAAAUUCUAAGGUUUACUCGGGUCUCGUGGGCUUCACUUGCCAAGGUUGUGCAUUGAUCACGGACCAAUGGGUUUGGGUCUUGAUAAUAGAUGACUACAUGAGACUAAGGGGAGGCAACUACGGAACAAUCUAUCGAUAGAUACACGAAAACUAUAGAUAGAUAGCCACUUGAGAAAGACUUAAAAGCAACCAUGACACGAUUUAUCGAUAGAUCCACGAGAAUUAUCGAUACAUGACCAUUCUUGAAGUGAAUGGGGCAUAAUCUAUGGAUAGUUACGCAGUAACUAUCGAUAGAUUGCACCGCAAGAAUAAUUGGAAAGUGCCUCGAACACCAUCUAUCGAUAACCUUGAAAAAUCUAUUGAUAGAUGAAGAAUGAAACUUGAGAGAUUGUAAAGUACCUAUCGAUAAAUGCAUGCCAUCUAUCAAUAGAUGCAUGUGAAUUUGUAAAAAUAAAAAGGGCACUAGUCUUCCACCCAUUUCAAAAUAAAAGAGAAACACCCCCAUGCUCUACCCCAUUAAAGGACCAAGUUUUUCAUUGGAUUUUUGAGUUUCUUGGAAGUGAUUUAGAUCUUGGAAAAUCAAUUUGGAGGUAAGAAUGCACCUUUUCAUCGAUUGAUUUCAUUUUUAAUUGGUUGUAAUGUGGGAUUUGUGUUACUUUAGCCUUGGUGAGAAUUCUCCCUUCAAGUUGCUGGAAACUUAGGAGCUUAAGUUGAAUUAACGCAGCACUCAAGGUGAGGGUUUAAGCUCAUUGAACCUAGUAUUGGAAACCUAGGCUUGUAGUUGUGAUUAUCUUAAAGUUGAGCUAGUUUGAAUGUUGGAAAUUUGGUUGAAAGUUGAGCAAUGAUUAAUUAUAUACUAUGUGUAUGUGUAAAAAGGGGAAAAAUUAAAUUAUAGGCUCUCCUUGAAUUGGAAAGCCAUUGGAAGCAGAGAAAACUAUGUUUGAUUGUUGCGAGAUUGCCCAAAUUGUCAAUAUGAAUGGGAUUUAUAUGUUUAAAUAAUGCAUGGAAGCAUAACACAUGAUAAAUGCAUUGUCAUUGUACUUGAUUGACGUGUAUGCGUUGAGAUGGUUAUGCCUAGGGUAGUAACUAUUAAUAUACAUUAGUAUGUACAUGUGUGCUAUGUUAUGAGCCAUAUGGUGGCAUAAUAUCAUGGGUUGGGCUAUGGACAGUAUGCUCAAAAAUAUGCAACGAAAAGAAAAUUAAAACUUUAUAACUAAACAACCGAAAUAUGCCUCCACCCAUAGAUCACUUUAGUGAUAUUUAACACAUAAAAGCACAAAAUUAAUUAUUAUUCAAAAAGUUACCUAGCCAAGUAAUUUCGUAAUCACAAUAGCACUUCCUGAAGCAAUCCUGCAAACACCAUAAGGAGCAAAAACCUUAGCCAUUAAGUGCUUGGCCUCUAAUGGUAGUACACACAAUUGCGCACAAACCUUUAACAAAGGAGGGAGUUUUUAACUAUACUUUGUUCUAGCAAUGAGGAUAACAAUUGUCUUUUUGCUCCUUUUCACAAGCUUAGCUAAACCUUUCUAGAAAAUUACUUCAUAGGAAAUUUCCUCUUUUACACAAAGGAAGUGGCAGUAAAGAGAGAAAACACUUUUUCUUUUUCUAACAAAAAUUAUGUUUUCCUCAAUCGUGAAAAUCUGCCAUAUGGAAAAUAGUUAAAAGGUGACUUACAUAGUUAGGUUAAAAUAACUUUAAUUUUGUAAUUAAGCCCUUAAUAUUAUAACACAUUAUAAUAUUAGGCCUAUUACUUAAUUAAACUCUUUUAAUUAAAUCAUUGGAAAUUAAAAUCAAAAUUAAUUUCUUUUAUAUUUGCAAUCAAGGCCUUUUAAUUAUAACUAUUUAUAAUUAUACCUAAAACUUAAUUAAAUUUUUUAAUUAAGUUUAUAGAAGUUAAUUAGCUAGCAUGUGAUUUAAGUCUAACUUAAAUCAUCACUCUCCUAAUUUAAUUCAAAUGCAAUCAUUGUGUGUGAUCCAUUAUAUUGCUAACAUGUUGGCGAUGGAAUGAAUUAAUGACUUAAUUGAUUAAUAUAAAUUUCAAUCAAUUAAUUUAUAAUCAAUUUCAUAAACCAAGAUUGGCAUCUAGUAAUGCAUCAUGGCUACUUAAUUAUUAAGAGAGUCAAAGGGUUUUUUGAUAACCUGUCAAUGUGCAAUUUAUCAAUGAAAUUCAUUCCUUCAUCAUAUAUCUCGAAGAUGAUAAGAGCUUGGUACAAUGUCUAUUCUUAUUAACCUCCAUAUUUGUUCCUGUAGUUAUAGCAUUAGCUUUAUAGAGACUUAUGUAACCUUUUCAUAAUCUCCAUGUCACCUUGGCCAAAGACUUCAAUAAGCUGAUGUUAACUAAGAAUUGAUAGGAUAUGUCCUCUAAAACACUUAAAGUAAUGAUUCCUAUCUUGACCACUCAUUUAGCUUCACAUGCUUUAUGCUAUACCCAAAAGCAUCCUGUUUAGGUAUUCUUGGUUAGGCACAUGUAGGGAUGAAAUUAAAGCAUAGCACCACAUAUAAAAGACAACCUAGUGUCUCAAGUUUAAGGAGUAUUUAAAUGACUGACACAUAAGAAGUAUUACAUAGACACUAGAGUGUAUUACCAAAUGCACUUCUCAUGGCGGGUCAUGUUCAGUGAACUUGUUCUCCUAGGCCAGUACUUAUAUUCUUAUUUCAAGUAUCUCUAUUCUUCAAUCUAUGAGAUCGAUUGCUUACUUUCAAAGUAAGGAAUAUAGAAUAUACCAGUCUUUAAGCAUCAUUAAUGUCCAAUCUCAAUGAUACAUGGCGUAGGUACAUUUUUGAGAUUAUACUUUGAUGCAUAGGGAUCUCAUAACUACAAGCCAUUACAAUUCCCUUACAAGGCAUAUUAAUCUCAUGGACUUCAUCCAAUUAGACUUACAACUCAUUAUAAUUGAUGUCUUAUUGAUGAAGGAAAACAUCUAAUCAUUCAACAUGAAUAAUAUUGUUGCAUAAUUGGAAUCAAGCCAUAACCAAUCCCAAUUGGCUACAAGGCUCAUCCCAACACAUCCCACGAGCACAAAGCUAAUUACAACCUCAUGGUAUGUGGAUUCAAUCCAUCUAGCAAUUGUGUCACCAUGUAGACUCGCUUGUGCCCUUCAAUGUGUUUAAUUGCCUUAUCUAUCUUCAUAAUGUCCAUGCAUCACAUCAUGUCAUAUUACUAUAUCUAGAUCCAAUGAGACCCAAGUUAUACUAGUAUGGCUCCAUUGUUACAUUGUCAAUGCUUAGAACACUUUAUUAGUUCCAUGGACUAGCGAUCUAAAUAUCUUCCUAUUAGAGCCCUUUUUAAUAGGAUGUAUAAGACUUUAUUUAUAUACACGUAUAGUCCCUUUUGCUCUUUGGAACCAUUCCAACUAGACUAUGCUAUAUGCAUCAUAUGCAUAUGUCACUCUGUGUUAUGUCAUUUAACCCCUUUUAAUUUUUUUUAUACUAUCAUUGUGCUCCCACUAUACCCAAGAUCCUUUGUGAGAGUAAUAUUCAAACUCUUUUGAAUAUUCCAUGAUGUUACGCAUAUAUAUAUACAUCUCAAUGUAUGCUUGGAAUCAUAUUGGUUUGGAAUAUCAUAAUGGGUUUUAUAUGUUGGAGAGAUAUGGAGCAAAUCAUAUCGCAAUACGUAAUUGCUUUCUUUCUUAAACAUUUAUCUCUAUGUUUUGUUCUUAAGAAAGUUCCAUUUUAUAUGAAUCAAUAUUCAACCUUUUGAUUAAUUAAAGAUAAUUCAUAAUUGAUCAAAUAUCAUUGCUAGGAUAAACAUGAAGUAUGGAUAAUUAAAUAUGAAAUAAUUAUUCCAAAUAAUUAUUCAAACUUGAAACAUAUAAGUUUCCACAUCCAAAUGCUAAAGACAAAUGUUUCACUAGCCAUUCCCAUGGCAAUAACAUAAUUAAUGUUUUGAAAACAUCCCAAUAAAUUAUCCAAAAUGUCGAGCAAUCCAAUGUAGCAUUUAAUGCUUUAAGUAGUCCAUCCAUGUGGUCACCUCCUUAGCCAAGAUCCUACUCAUCUUGAUCUUUGGUCCCUGCAAUAUGCCAAACAUAUGAGAACAAACUUUCAAGUAUCAUAUACCUUUAAUAUAUAAAGUAGAAUUAUUUAACAAAUGGAAUUUGAAUUAGAAACUUCAAUAAGCCUUUUUUUCUUGCUCAUAGUAGCUAGGUACUCCUUAUAAUUCCUCCUUUGAUGCCCAAGUUUGCCAUAAUGAUGGCAAAUAUCCUUCUUUUUGUCUUUUUUGACACCUCCCUUAGACUUUAGUGCCUUCUCAUUUUGGGAUUUUACCUUCUUCCUUUUUUGGGCUUACUUCUUCUGUUGUUUCAUAUGAGCCUUUGAAGAAGAAAUAAGAAGCAAUGAUCCCUUAUCUUUCUUGAUAGUCCUCUUUGUCUUGUCCAACAUAUUUAGAAGUUUCGAAAGAAUGACUUCCAAUUGAUUCAUAUGGAAGUUAAACACAAACUGAUUGAAGCUGUUAGGAAGAGAUUGUAGAACUAAGUCUAUACUUAGCUUAUGAUCCAUUGAUAAUCCUAAUUGUCAAAGUUUCUCAAUGAGUUCAAUCAUCUUCAACACAUGGGGUCUAACAGAAAUGCCUUCUACCAUCUUGCAUCGAAAUAGUUCCUUAGAGAUCUCACAUCUUUCAGUGUACCCCUCUUUAUCGAAUAAUUCUACAAGGUGAAGAAUCACGAAUUUGACAUCCAUGUGCUCAUGCUACUUUUGGAGGUCAAGGAUCAUACUGGUUAGCAUCAUGCAUGCUGCCUAUUCAUCGUCAUCCUUAUGACACUGAUAUGCUUCCAACUCCUCAACACUACCAUCAUUAGUAAGGACAGGUGGAAUAAGAGUGUCAAGGACAUAGGAUUUCUUCUUUUAUUUGAAGACAAUCUUGAGGUUCCAAAACUAAUUGAGGAAGUUUGGGCCAUUAACUUUAUUUACAUCUAAGAUGCUUCGCAAUGACAGAUUAUUAGCCAUGUAUAUAAAUUAUGCCUAAAUAGAUAAAAUAAAGCAAUAAGAAAAUAUCAUGCAUAAAUUAUUUAAAAAAAGGUUUUAAAAUUUUUCACAAGAUGAUAACCCUCAAGGUCAUUCCGAAAAGUCUCUUCCAACAUCUUGUUAAUGGGCUAGGAAUCGUUCAACAUAUCAUAACCUUGAGUGUGCUCAACAAGCCAUGAUAUGUCUAAUUGGGUAGAUAACUUAAUUUUUCGAUCACAUCUUUUAUGUGACUCGUAGAUUCAAUUAGGUGACAACUCAUUAUCUAAGUAUAUGAUAUAUACUUCGCCUAACUAUUGCCUCUAGUUUCCAUAAUAAUCAAGUUUCCAAGUAUCUAGAUUUUAUGAAACUAGUUGAGUAAGACCCACUAAUAGCUCAAACAUACUCGUGUGACUCAAUAUGGUGGAAACUAGUUGGACAACACAUAUGUUCUAGUUUAGUGAACUUGCUCUCCUAGGCAAGCACCUAUAUUUUAGUUCCAAGUAUCUUUAUACUUCAACUUAUGAGAUCGAUCGUUUACUUCUAAGUAAGGAACAUAGAAUAUACUAGUCUCUAAGCAUCAUUGAUGUCCAGUCUCAAUGAUACAUUGACCAAGAACAUUUUGAGAUUAGGCUUUGAUGCGUAGAGAUCACAUAACUAUAACCCAUUACAAUUUCCUUACAAGGCAUAUUAAUCUCAUGGAUUUCAUCCAAUUAAACUUAUAUCUUAUUAUAAUUGAUGUCUUAUUGACAAAGCAAAACCUCUAAUCAUUCAACAUGAAUGAUAUUGUUUCAUGAUUGGAAUCAAGCCUUAAUCAAUCCUAAUUGUCUGCAAGGCUCAUCCUAACACAAUAUUGGAAUGAUUGCAUAUGAAGUUGAGACUUUAAUGUCUAGUUAAGCUAUGAUAUGAACAUCGAAUUUGUGAAACCUCAACCUUCAUAGAUGCAUAAUUAGAGGUUUAUGUUUAAACGUUUAAUUUGAGCUAAUGAUGCUAGUUUUAUAUUACUUAUAAUUAUUUUAUGUCGUUAUAAGAGUAGGAUAAAAAAAUGAUUUCAAUCGGUGAAGAAAGGUGCAUAAUGGGCCGUUGCUUUAUUUACAUAUGUUUUGGGUUUUAAAGCAUAUCUCCCAUUACGAAAAUCAAAAUAACAUGAUUUUUAAACCAUUAGAAAGCUAAGAGGUAAGGCUACAACUUUGAUGUUUACCAUUUUGCCCAGUUCUGAUGGGAAGGUGGUCAAAAUCUUUGUCAAAGUGAAAGUACUAUGCCAUAAGAACAAAUUUGGAUAGAACAUUUGAGCGCAACGACACUGGAAAUUAAGAGUUGCGGCCCUCAUCAUAAUUUCCAAAAUAUAACAAGCUUAUGGGAUUUUUGAAGCUAGGGCUGUUGGGGGCUACUUAAGAGACCUUUUCAGGGGAUUUUGGACCCUUUCCUAGUGUCAAAAGAGUAAAAAGAUUGCAUAAGAAAAGGAGGAAGACAAGUGGCCUUGUUAAGGGCAUUAUUGCAAUUGCAUGAAAAAUUAGAUAAGCUUUAACUAUAAAUAUCUACUCUCCAGCAGCCUUCUUCAUUUUUUUUUCCAGCAGCUUCUUCUUCCCAUCUUUCUCUUCAUCUCAUGUUUCUUCAUCCUCUAUGGGGGUUCUCUUCAAGCUUUCAUAACUCUCUCAAGUUAGUCUUAAAUUUCAUGCUUUUGUGCACCUUUUCACAAGCCCUUUGUGCUCUUUUACUCUUCACCUUAAAAAAAACCUCCAAAGUCUUAAGCUGAUACUUUCUCUCACUAGCUAGGUAUUUUUAAGAGAGAAAGAAAGACUCUCUAUGAUAGUUUGGGAACUCUUGAGGAGGAAUUCAAUUACAAAUCUAGCAAGGUGAGUAUUGAAAUUGAGUUAAUAUUUUUAGUUGUUGAGAAUGGCUGGUGGUUAGAUCUAUGAGUGUUUUGUAGUUAAGAUGAUUUAUUCAUUUUAGUGUGAUUAGAAUAGUGAAAUAGAUAGCCACUUAAUGGUAGUUGGGAACUAGUUAAGAAUAACUAGUAGAACAUGAUUUAGGAGAUAGCUUUUAGAACUAUAUUUAUGUGAAUUGAGUUAAUUGUGAUGAUUCCAACGAAGCUCCGCCGCCCCAUUUGGACCAUUAGAGGAAGUUGGAAUUGAGUAAAAAUUUAACAAAUACCGGUGAGUGAACUUGCAUUAAAAUGUUUUGGAAUUAGGGUAUAUGUGUUUGAUUAAAUCCAUCAAAAUAUUUCAUCUGUUUUCUCUAAAAUAUGCAUGGGAACAAGCUUUUGAAUGAAACGUUUUACGUUAUGGAAUGCGACUGUGAUGAAUCCAUGUGCCCUGUAUUAUGUUGAUAUAUAUAUCUAAAUAUAUAUCAUAUGUAUUGAUAGUAAUAUUAUUGUAAUUAUAAUCGAGCAUGUGCGCGAUGUGGGGGAGCACAUGCUGGUGAUGAUGGUUGCGAAGUGUGAAUGAUGAUAUUGCCUGUGCGCGAUGUGGAGGAUGCACAUGGUGAUAUUAGUUGUGCACGAUGUGGGGGAUGCACAUGAUGACUCCAGCUAUGUGCGCGAUAUGGGGGUUGCACAUGAAUUGGGUGAGGUGGUGGUGGUAUUGGUGGCUAUGUAUAUAUAUAUAUAUAUAUUUACGUAAUAGGAAGUUCAUGAAUAUGGUAGAUGGUUGUAAUGUAUGUGAAAUCUUGCAUGUUGAACCUAGGAAAUUGUUAAGUAUUUUCAAGUUGAUUUUGUCAUUACAGCGAGAAACAUUAUGUUUUGCUUGCUACCUUGUUUGGUUAUUGCCCCAUUUUCCAUUUCUUUAGCACCAUAAUUGAUCAUGGACUCUCAACAUUAAGGAAUUUAUUUAAUCAAGUUUGAAAUGAGGGGUUUUAUUAAGAACUAAACUAAAUUGCAUUGUUUUGAAAAUAAGUGCAUCAUGAUUUCUUUAAACUUUCCUUAUCGUUUGCUUGUUCCCUUCCUUUGUUCACUCACUGGGUUUAUACUCACCGUUUUCAACUUCAUGAUUUCAAAUCAGGAGGCAGCCGGUAACUAGGUUAAUGUGUUCUCAUAGAUUUGUUUCCUUGGUAGGUAUCUCGGUAUUCAAUAGCUGAACUUAAGCCCCAGUCUCUCCUCUGGAAGUCAAGUAUCCCUUUUGUUGUGUAUAGACAAACCCGAUGUAAAUUAUUAAGAUAUAUGUUUUAUAUAAUAUAUGUAUAUUUUGAUUGGUAAUGCCACUAUGAGAUGGUAAUGGUUAGCAUUAUUUUGAAUUGGAAUUAUGAAAUAUAACUUUAGCAACUUUUGAUGGAAUGUUGAACAAGUCAUAUACAUAGGCUUGCUUGGGCUUAGUGGGCUAUGUCCAUUAGGUCCAUGCCCCGGUCGUGACAGAAUUACAUAGUGGUACUACAUUUCGGGAACUAGGUUGCCCAAUUGUAUAUGAGACUAUGAUACAUGUUUGGAGGUGAUAGUAUGAGAUGCUUAGAUGAAUGAAGAACUAUCACAAUUAUGCUCGAUUGAUGUGUAUGAACUUGUGAUUAUCUAAUGUGAAAUUGUUUAUGUAUGUGAGGCUAUUGAGAUAUGUUUAGUUGAUAUAAAUAAGAUAUGAAAUUGUAUGGCAUUAUUGCCUAUGCGAAUGAUUAUGUUCCAUUCAAUAGGUGAAUUCUAGACAUUGAUUUGACUUGAGGUUAAGUGGUGUCCUACCCCUAUGAUAGCUAUGUGACUUUCCACCAAUAGCUUUGUCUCUGAUUGUGAUUCGAACUCUUCGCCAGUUGCUUUAGCAUUGAAUGUGAUUUGAACUCUUUGUCUGUCACUUCAGUGCCAUGCAUGAUUUGACUAUUCGCUGGUUGCUUUGGUACUAAACAUGAUUUGAACCCUCCGUCUACCACUUUGAUGCUAUGCAUGAUUUGAAUCUCUAUUGGUGGCUUCGGCACCAUGCUUGAUUUAACUCCGUCUGUUGGCCACCAUACAUGAUUUAACUAUGUCCAAGGAGGACCAAUCAUUGAUUAUGUUUGAUUAUUGAUGAUAUGCAUUGUGAAUGGCAUGAUAUAAUAUAUGAACAUGUGAUUAUCGAUGUGUAAUUAAAAUGUGGAUAAUAUCUGAUGAAAAGCUUCAAGAUAAGCUAAUAUGAUCAUUGAGUUGCAAUGUGAAUAUUUGGCAACUAAAGUGUGCCUAUGGAACCAGGUUUGGUGAUGACUUAAGGUAAGUCUUAACUUGAUAUGUAACAUUUAUGGAGAGAUGAAUUUGGUGAGUCAUGAUUGUGGUUAUGCUAUUCGAAAUGUGAUCACGACAAGACACAAUAUGAUAGGAUGUAUGUGUAUGGAUGAUAGGAUGAUCCUCAUACCCUUUUCUAUUGGAAACGUUUGUCAAUGGAUGUACUUGCCUUAUGCUUGGCUUAUGUCUCCAUAUGUGUAUGUGUAUAUUUGAUUUAUUAUGCUUAUGAUAGCAUCACUCACUGAGUAGUAAAUGACUCACCCCUUUAUUUAUACCAUGUACAGUUAAGUGAGGCUGUAGGAUAGGCUGCAAGAUUGCGUGGCUGGCAUUGUCUUUUGAUAAACAAAUGUUGGCAUCUAGUAGGUUUCCUAUCGAAAGGUCCACUCCAUGAGUCCAAGUUGUACUAGCUUUCGUUUUUGGCUUGAAAUUUGGAACAAUGUUGUAUUUCGAAUAUUGUAGGCAUCAUGUCACCAUUAUUGUGUUAAGGGUUGUACGUUACAAACUAAUUUGGUAGCCAAUGUAUGACUUUUAAAUUGUAAGUUUAAGCAAUUAUUUGAAUUGUGUGCUAAGGGCCAAUCUCUAUGUUAGAAUUUGACAUAUACAUAUGGAGAUUGUUAUUAUGGAAAACCAUUGAAUGUUUGAUAAAAAUGUGAUUUUAAGAUUUAUUAGGCUUGCUCAAGUCUCGUGGGCUUCACCAACCGGACUUGUGCAUCAAUCAUGACUCCUUGGUUUGAGUCAUGACAAAAGGGGAGUGCAAGAGGGAAGAACCUUUGCUGCAAUGUUAAGUCAGGAAAAGACUCAAAGGGCUAUGGUUGAGGCUUUGACUGAGGUACUUGAGGUGCUAAAUGAGUACUAAGAUGUGAUGCCCAUAAAGUUUCUUAACCGAUUGCUGCCUGUACACAAGGCAAAUGUGAGACCUUGACCUUUAUAGACUCGUAGAUAGAAGUACACGCGAUAUCCUUGAUUAGGGGUAAUUUCGUCAUUUCCUUAGUAAGCCCAUAAAAGUAAGUUUUAAACAAUAUUAUGGCAUAAGUAGGCCUAAGAUAUAAAUGAAUGAUGAAAAUAUAGGUAAAAUGACAAGGAAAAAAAUUUUUUGAUGAUUUCCACGGUAGGGGCAAAAUGGUCAUUUUUCACCUCAAGUUAGAAUUUUUAAGUUUUCAUGAACCCGAGCAUUUCUAGACCAUUAUGGACUUUGUCCUAGUGUCAAAGGAGUAAAAAGAUUGCAUAAAAGAUUGAAGGAGAAUAAGCUAAUUUGUGGAGGGGCAUUUUAGUAAUUUAAAUGGAGUGGAUAAGCAUGGGUUAUAAAUAUCUUUUCCUUCUAGCAGCUUCUUCAUUCUCUAGCAGUUUUUCUUCUUCUUCUUCUUCUUCUUCCAUCUCACGUUGCUUCCAUCCUCCAUGGAAGCUAGAUAUAUAAAACUUUCAUAACUUUCUCUCUCUAGCUCUAUAUUUCAUGCUUUUGGUGCACCCUUUCCAUAAACCCUUGUCCUUUUCCAUUCUCUCACUUUAAAACCUUUGAAAAAAAUCUUGUUUCCAUACUCUCUCUCACUAGUUAGGUGUUUUAGAGAGAGAAAGAUAAAGCUUUAUAAUAGUUUGGAGAAUUAUUAGAAAAGAAUUUCAAAGUUUCAAAGCUAUUAAGGUGAGUAGUAAAUUUGAGUUGAAAUUUUAGUGUUAAGAAUGACUAGAGAUUUGAUUUCUGAAUAUUUUGUAGUUGAGAUUGUUAAUUCACUUUGGAAUGAUAGGAUAGUGAAAAUGCAUAGCCAUUUAAUGGCCAUUUGAAGUAAGCUAAGAGAAAGCUUUUGGACUUUAUAAUUAUGUGAAUUAACAUAAUUGUGAUGUUAAUGUGAUGAUAGGUUCCAACGAAGCCACACCGUCCCAAUUGGACCAUUAGGGAAGUUAGAGUCGCUUAAAGGCUUAAUAAACACCGGUGAGUGGACUUGCAUUUCAAACUUGUUUUAGGGAAUGUGAAUGAUUUUAUCCAACUUGUCUUUGAAAAUGUGUGUUAGGGAACAAGCCUUGAUUAAAUGUUUUUGAUAUUGUGAAAUGGAAAGCGUGUAUAAGGAUGAAUCCUUGUGUUUAUUAUUAUAUUGGUAUGUAUGUAUAUACCUUUUGAAUAUGUGCUGUGUAUUGAUGAAUGAUGAUGGGUGAUGAUGUUGAGGUGUGCGAGUAGGGAGUGCACACAUGAUGAUGAUAGAGUGUGCGAGUAGGGAGUGCACACAUGACGAGGAUGAAGUGUGCGAGUAGGGAGUGCACACAUGAUGAUGAUGUAUGUAUAUGAAAAUGUGUGUGUGAUAUAAAGUUCAUAAUAUGGUAUAUGGAUGAAAUGCUUGUGAAAUUGACAUGUUAAACUUUGGGAAUUUAUAUGAGAUUCAUGUUGUGUUGGUCAUGUGAGCAGGGUGGCCUUUGCUUGAGGAAAAAGAGAGAUUUUUGCUAGUGCCCUGUUUCUCGCUGCAGCGAGAUUGAAUCUCCCUGCAGCAAGAAACUCUUGGGUUUGAUGGCCUUCACCAGAAUUGGUUCUUGCUGCAGCGAGGAAGUUAUUGUAGCUUCUCGCUGCAGUGAGGAAGUUAUUAUAGCUUCUCGCUGCAGCGAGAAACUUUUUGUUUUGACAAGUAAAACUCGCUGCAACGAGAAACCUUCUGUCCAUUUUGGUAUCUUGUGGGUUUUUCUCAUAUUUUUCCAUUUCAUUUAUACCCUAGUGGAGCAUGGACUUCCAACAUGUUUGGGGAUUAUCUAACUAAGUUUGGAAUGAGGAAAUUUUGAGAGAAACCCUCGAUCGGUUGAAAAACCCUCGUUCGGCUAAUAACUUGAAUUUCUAACUUUGCUGCAAUGAAAAUUCAUUCUCACUGUAGCUACGCCUUCCCGCUGCAGCGAGGACCUGUUGUUUACUUGACUUGAUUUGCAUGAAUGCUAUUAAAGUUUUCACUUUCCAAAUCCUUUGUUAAACAUGGACUCUUUUCAAUAAGUGAUUUUUCUCAUGUGGGGUUUACAUGAGGGGUUUAAUAAGAACUCAAAUAAAUUGCAUUGUUUUGAAAAAUGGAUGCAUUAUGAUUUCGUUAAACAUUCCUUAUGGUAUGCUUGUUCCCUUUUUGUUCACUCACUAGGUUUUUACUCACCAUUUUCAACUUCAUGUUUUCAGAUCAAGAGGCAGCUGGUAACUAG